UGUGUGUGUGUGUGUGUGUGAAAACUCACUUGAAAAUCAGUGAGAAACUGAGAAUCAUCGUUUUCUUCAUGGAAUCAGAGAAGAAUUAAAACACCUGCCCUGAAAUCUCAAGAAAAUUGGCCCUGUUCUUCAAAAAAACCCCAGCUGCCAUUCUGGAUCACCCAUCCGGGUAAAUUUCUUGGAACACUGCCCCUCCCAUUUGGAAGCCCAGCUGCUGACAACGACAAGCCUACGGCUGAAAUCCGGUACUGGAUGAGGCAUGUCUGACCUUCACGCACCAUUCGUGUGUUAUUGUUUUGAUCCCACGUGCUGGCGCACAUGGCGUUUUCCAACACCAUCCGGAAGCCUUCCUUCUCCAGUGUUGCCUUGGUGUGUUGGGUGCAGUUAAAGGUCUGUCAUGGGUUUCAAAGAAUCUUUUUCUUUGAUUUGUGUUUCAAGGCAUUCAGGUCUCCUUUUUCAGAUUCUCUCUUGGGAUACCUUUUUGAUUUGGGUUCCAAGGCACUUUGGGUCUCCCGUUUCAGAGAUUUUUUUGUUGCUUUCAGUGAAUGAGAGCAUCUUUUUCCUAGGCUAUUUGAGGACUGGUUUGAUUUUCUGAUAUUUUUCUUGAAGAAAUUAUGGCUGAAGACAAGGGUGAAACUAAAUCUAUUCUUUCAUAUGUAAUUCUAGUGAUGACUAAAAACAUUGAACACAAGCUAAAUGGCUCAAAUUACUUAGAGUGGAGUAAAACGGUUCGGAUUUACUUGCGAAGCAUUGAUAAGGAUGACCAUCUCACAAGUGAUCCACCAAAUGAUGAUACAAAGCAAGCUUGGCUACGACAAGAUGCUUAUUUGUUUUCACAACUUCGAAACUCGAUUCACAGCUAGGUACUUAGUCUAAUUAAUCAUUGUGAGUUUGUUAAAAAAUUGAUGAAAUAUCUGGAGUUUUUAUAUUCUGAAUAAGGCAAUAUUUCUUGCAUAUAUAAUAUUUGUAAGGGCCUUUUAUAAAGGCCUCUAACUUGUUAGAUAUCAAGAAUGCUUUACUCAAUAAUGAUCUGCAGGAGGGGGUGUAUAUGGAGCAACCAUCUAGUUUUGUUGCUCAAAGGAGUUGGGGAAAGUUUGCAAGCUUUGAAAAUCCUUUUAUGGCCUGAAACAAAGUCCUCAGUCUUGAUUUAGGAGAUUUAGUGAUGUGGUAGAGAAGUUUGAUAUCCAAAAAAGUAAGUGUAAUCUUUCGGUAUUUUAUAGGCAGUCUGAAGCUAGUCUAAUUUUACUGAUAGUUUAUGUGAAUGACAUUAUUAUCAUUGGAAGUAACUCCACAGGCAUUCCAUCCCUUAAAUCCUUCAUCCAAACCAAGUUUCAAACAAAAGACUUGGUCUAUUAAAAUCUUUCUUGGGCAUUUAAGUUAUAAGAAGUAAGAAAGGUA
rnacentral:misc_RNA from 1 species